GCUGCAGAAGCAGCUUUGUCUCUCACAGGCUGAAUGAGCAGGAUGGUGAAGCAGGGUAUAUUUCCGCCACCCUUACUUGAAGCCAAGGCAGAGUUUUUCUUCCAAAUACACAUUAGUUGCCUAAGUUUUCUGGCUUUGCAUAGCUGGGGGUUUUAAUCUUUUCAGUCUUUUAACUGUUAGUCUGUGGGAUGUAGGAUUAGGCAGUGUUGGUCAUGUAUAAACUAAGCAUUACUUGGGGGAGGGAACUACAUCCAGUCUUUGUUUUUUUCAUUGUCUUGAGCAAAGUUAAAAAGUAUAUCUUCUUACAAUUACUUUACAGGAUUCCACUUAACGUAGAAUGGAUGAUGUAACACUAGUGCUUAUCUUCUUAAUUAAAGGAGAAUUGUUCUUAAGUGAUACAGAUAAGGAUAAUCAUUCCAUGUCAUCAUUAUAUAAAAAGUGCAGACAACACAGCAUCCUUAAUGCAGAAAAAAAUAUAGAGAGGAAAGGAGAAAGGAAAGAGGGAAGAGGAAAGGAAAGGGAAAGCUUUAAAAGAGAUUAACUAUUUAAUAUGGGCAUAGAUUUAAUCUUUUUUAAAACCAUUUGGCUAUCUUGCCUGUCUGUUGAUUAGACAGAGGAAAAUUUCCUGGCUUUAUUUUCUUAACUUAUUCACUUAGAUGAAUAAGUUGAAAAAGUACUGUGGCUGCUUGCUCCCUAGAUCUGUGUUCAAUAAUACCAAAAUUGGCUUACGUUUGGCUGAGGGAAAAUAUUUUCUCAACAAAUGAGAGGGCAGUCACUCUGUCCAAUACCAGGAGUCAGCCAUCUGGAUUUAGCAUCAGGUGCCCAAAGAAAGAACAGAAAAGCUCUUUGUCCUACAUAAAUCUCCAGAGAAGGUUUUGAUCCAGAUCCUCAGUCGGAUGCUGCUUUGGAUAACACUGAAAGCUUACUUUCACUUGUUUAUUAGUGUUGUCUGCUUCUGGAUUUGCAAUGAUUCUGCCAUUCUGCUCCUAUGGUCAGGGUGUUUGUUUUCCCUUCAUUUGUCAAACCAGUAAUGCCAGAGGAAAUGCUAGCCUUCAGUGACUACAGAUGUCUUUAUAUCUUCACUGUCCAACUGUACAGCAGUUCAAGGAACAAAGAACCCUCUUCUCAGUCUCACUUCUUUGCCAGAGUCUUUCUAUGUUUUUCUGGGAGGUACUGGCAUGAUAUUCAGUAAGAAGCUGUCAGAUGAGACAAGCUUUCACUUAACACAGAUCCUACCGAUUCAUUCAGAAGGGAGGAUUUCUUUUAUGUCAGGUAGAAGUGCUACUUUCAGACCAAAAGAGUCUCAAUUUAAAUAGCAGCAGCAACUACUGUCCAGGGAGUGUAUACUGGGAGAUUAAAUAACGGAUGAGGAGAGUCCACGAAAUCAAUAAGUCUGCUGUAGCGUCUGGCCAUCACUUGACAGACGCUGCUGGACCACUUGGUAUAAUGAAGUUCAAGCGUUAUAACAGAUUCCUUACUGGGACCACAAUACAACGUGGUGGUUUUUUUGUGUGGGGGGGUUUUUUUUUUGUUUUUUUUUUUUUAAUGCCAUGUUGUUGGAAAUACCAUAUGAUGUGCAGAGAUGUGCCUAAAGUCUAAUUGCUGGCCAUUUCCAAGUAUGCUCUAGUGAAAUAGCCAGUAUAACUAAGGAAUGCAUAUAGUGCCAGUUCCAAUGCUGCAGGUAUGCAGUACAAUUCCUCAAGAGACUGUGAAUACAUUAAAAAAUACAUAUUUUAUUUCCUUGGAAUAUUUAUUGAUGACAUUCUUGCUAUUGCAAUUGCAAGAUGAUCUAGAAAUUUAAUGGAUUUUGCAUUGAUUUAAUGUGCCUAUGUUGCUCUGAAAGUAAUGCUUCCUAUUUUUUCCAUGGAAACUACAACAAAGAGCACAAUAACAUUGUUUGACUGAGCAAAUUCUCAGCUACAAAAUACUGUUUUUCAACAUAGUCACCACCAUUAACUGUGUAUUUUCACCACCGAAGAUCAAGAGCCAGCAUGCCAUGCUCAUAAAAAUCUGCAUCAGUGGAGGUGACCCACUGUUUCACAGGUGCUAUGACAGCAUGAUUACCAGGUAGAAAUCAGAAGGCAUCAAAUCCAGACUGUGCAAUGGGUGUGGUGGGACAGUCCAGCCAAGAUGGGCAAGGUCUUCCAUGGUCUUCAAACUGAUAUGGAGCCUGGUGUUAUAAUAUUGCAGGAGAAAGGCUUUCUUCUUCUCUGGCCUGACUCUGGAAGUUUGAGCCAUCGGCUGACUAAGUUGUGAUGAGUGGUCAGAGUUAAUGGUUUCACUUUCACAGGAACCUGUCACCUUCAGCCUCAUAUUUGUUCAGUAGAUUCCGGCAAACUUGCAAACUUCUUUCUGUUCCUAUGUGAGCAUUUGUGGAACCUGGUACAAACUUUGUGAUAUUCCAAUGUUGCCAUUGUUGUUUCUAAUGCACUGAAGCUGAUAUUCAACUUCAUACGUAGUUCUCUGGUUGUAAUCUGCCAGUUCUCAUGGAUGAGCUCACCAAGACUUUCAUUUUGUGGUGUUACUGCAGUGCAUGGCUGUCCAGAAUGUGGUUUGUCUUUCACAUCACUGUUGCCACUGCUGAAAUGCACUACCCACCACCUCACUGUGCUCACAUUUGCUCUUUGGUCUCCACAAAGGUUCACCAAACAUUGAAGAAUGUCAGUGGGUGCUGUUUUUUCCACACAGAGGAAUUCAGUGACACACCUUUGCUUCAUAUGCACUUCUAUGUCAGAUGCCGUUCUGUCAGACUGCCCCUCUGCUGCCAUCUGUCACGCAGCAACAAAAUGCAAUGGAAUAUUGGUGGGAAGAUUCAACCUCUAUUGCCAUACCACCGACAUCCACCUCUGAUGUUGUGGUUCAACAUAAUAAAACAGGUGACAUUACUUUCAGAGCAACCUUUACAUAAUCAGCCACAGAACACAAAAGCUUGUGAAUAUGCUUCCUUGUGGUAAAAAUAGAAAAUCUUUUCUUAGAAUAGUCACAACCAUAAAUUUGGUCAUUUGAAUGCUCACAAAUAGCCUGAAAUCUGUCUGUUUGUCUAACUACACAAGAAGAUGCAUCACUUCCAAGAACACAUGGAACUACUUGCUGUGUGCAUGUAUGAUAAUUAUUUUCAUGUUAUAUAGUCUGUCUAACAACAGUUUGCACAGUGCCUAUGCAUAUGCCUCUCUUAAAUGACUACAUUAACUCAAUCAAUCCAAAGAUGAAAAAUCUGUUUCCUGAACUAUUCAGAUUGUUUAACCAUUCAUUUUCUUCCUUUUGAUGUGUAGCUGCAUUUCAGUGUUUAUAAGCAUAAUUCAGUGCUGUCACAAUUGAGUUUUCUGUAACUUUUUACUCAGUAGUGCAGUAAAAAGCAUACAGCUUAUGAGAUAACAGUGUUAUGUAAAUAGGUCAUAAAAUGGAAACUGUUCCCUGUUUAGAAGUGUAGUGCCACUGAAGCAGGUAAAAAUGGUUUUCAUCCAAUCUUCGUACUGAAAAUUUAUUUUAUCUCAUUUGACUGAGAUUUCUUUGCUACUCUGCUUCCAUUUAUGAAUAGUCCACUUUUUGCUGUUGAAUAACAGAAUUGCAUUAAUUCGUUAAUCAAAUUCUGUACAUGUAAAACAUUGUUUGAUCUCUAAUCUAAUGUUCUGUUUCAAGGAGUGCCCAAUAGCAGGUAAUCAGUGUAAGAUUAAAAAUAAAAAGGUUCUGUAAUAGAUUGUUUCACGUGACAAUUUCUCAGGAAGAUCAAACAUGCCAGAUGUUAAACAAAUAUCCAUUGAACUGUUUUCCUUUUGAGAACACUUAAAAGAUUAAACUGCAGAAUGUUUUACAUUUCCUGUAAUGUCAUUUGCGAUGUGUAAACUAAUGCUAGAAUCUCAAUUUGAGAUGAAUACCCAGAAGCAAAACUUUAUUGCAGUGUGUUUCAGGUCAUUGAAGGAUGAAAGAGUUAGGAAGACAUGCCUCUAGAAAUACUGUUCAAUACAAGGCAGGCCCUAUCUUGCAGGCUGUUUCCCUCAACCUGACUUGGAAGCAGUUGAGGCAAGUGAAAUAGCAGAGGAGGCAUAUGUUUGUUUCUUAAAAUUACUGCUGUGUGUAGCACUACUCUGUCCUUACCGACUUUUUCCUUUCUGUAGAUCACUUAAAUUUUAUGUAAGGAAGGGGUCUCCACCAUGAACUUUGAGUUGUGAAAAAUACAUAGCAAGACAACACAUUACGUGUUAAUUUUGAAUACACCUAGCGUAAAUAAUUGCACUUUCCUUCUCCACAUAAUGUAAUUCCUCUGUGUUCAUGAUAGAAAACUAGACAGCCACCACAGAUGUAGUGAUGCUCUGUAAUUACUGAGAAAUGUGGAUUUUCCCAGGUACUCAUUUCCCUGAAUUCUAUCACCGUAUGCCUCAUUUGGAGGCUGACUGUAUGGUUGCUUCACAAUAACUGCUAUUCAAAGACAUAAGCAAAGAAAUACACACUUAGCUUGUCAGAAGGCAUUGAAUUUCAUUGUUUUGAUAUGUUUAUUUUAGAAAAGUUGCAGCAUUAAUUGUAUUCAUUUCCUAUUAGUUUCUGGCUUUGACUCACUUCUGUGCUCAGAAUGAUUAAGAAACUUCUGGGAAGAUGUUAACACAUUCUCCUCUUCCCACAUCCCCCAAUUCAAAAUAUACAUAUAUAAGCUAAAAAAAUGCUUCAAAGCCACAAAAAAGGGAAUUUCAGGCUGCUAAAAUUUUUAAAAUAUUACCAAAAAAUACCCAUAGUGUAUCAAAAUAGUUAGGAACUGUUUGUUCAUGAGAACUAAGAGGGUCUCUUUUUUAAAUCCCUCUCACUUUGCCCAGAUGUGGUAGAGCAGGAAGAUGUAUAUUUUAAAAGGAGAAGGGACAGCUAAUCUGAAGGAGCUUAAGAGAUGCAUUGGAAGCAGAGGCUGGUGACGUUUUAGCAGGUAGUGAUGCCUGUGUGGUAGCUAGCCAAGAAGUCUGGUCCUAUGAAUUAUUGAAUGGAAUUUGGGAAUGAACUGAGAUGACACCUGGAACCUAAAGUUGACUAAGCAAGAUACUGAGACAAUGCCAAGAAAGUGGCAGAUAAAGAGCAAAGCAAAUGAAGGUUAGAACUGAGUUGCAGGGAAGAAAUGUCAUUGAUGGGACUGACAAGCCAGGCAUAUAUUGGUUAUAUAUAAUUUGUUAUAUUGUGUUGAGGGAUAUGGUUUAGCGAGAACCAUUGGUGAAGGGCGAAUGGUUGGACUGGAUGAUCCUGUGGGUCUUUUCCAACCUUAGCGAUUCUAUGAUUCUAUAAAUUUCUACUUAUUUUUCAAUCCAGAGGUAGGCUGUUCUUCUCUCCUAAGUAAUUAAUAUAUGUUUGAAGCUGAGAAAAGACUAUAAAGUAUGUGAAUUUUGAGUGAGUAUUCUAGUCAUCAUUUCAGGGAACAGGAGCACUACCCUGUAGAACUGGCAUCUAUGCAGAGCUGGAUAAACUAAGCGAUGGAAUAUGGUUCUGGCCUUUGAAUUCUCAUCUCAGGGAGCUGUCUUAUCCAGAAAGGAAAGAAUUUCAGACAGACUCCUUUCUUCAGCUUUUCCUAACAAAUUAUUUCCAUUCUGCAUGUUUGGUGGUGUGACACCUGCUCCAAGCUUCCUGUGGCUCCCAUUUGUACAGAAAAUGGUGGCAAAAUGGGGGACGUAGGAAAGAUUUGGGCCUGACAUAGGCAUUUCAGUGUCAGCAGCAACAUCUCACAUGAGCCUUAGUACUUGGGUGCAAGUUUUACCUGGCAAUUCUUUGGCAGAAUUAGAGACAGAAUCCAUUUGUCCUGGGAAGCAUGUAACUCAGCUAUUGGACUAUCUUUGCUGUCCUCAACCUUUCUGGCUCUUCCCCUGUGCAUCUUCUUUCUUGACAAAUAAUGACUCAUGGAGCUUUUCAUAAGACUCUUUUGCCUUUGAAUUCCUUCCACCCAAGAGAAGGAAACAGGACUAUUCUACAGCUAAAAGAUGUGGGAAGAAAAAACUGUGUUAACUUGUAAGUGAAAUGUUAAUGUAUAGGGCCAUUUAUUACUUUUUAAAAAAAUAGCUUUGUCAUAUGAAUAAUUUUAACCUAUUUUACGCAUGUGAUGUAUAAAGCUUGUUAAUACUUACAUUAUUUUUACACAUUUACAACCUUUUCAACCUAUUCACCUGGAAAAUCUAUGGCAAACAAGUGUAUAGUACACAUGCCCUAUGAGAAUUUCUUCUGAACUAAAUUUCAUUUGGAUAUAAGAAAUUAAUUCUAUAAUAAAAUGACCUGAGAAAAUCAAGUCGUACAGACCAUAGCUCUGACUUUUUUUCUUGGGUCCUCAAAAUCAACUGGUGUAGUAUCUUCAUUAUGUUAUUUCAUUUGAAAAGCACUGAAAAUGCUGUGACAGGAAGAAGGUGAUAGGAUUUUUAGGAAUAUUUUUCCUGACGUUACUUGUAAAUUUUAAUGUCGGUGGGAUCUUAGCAGAAGUAGUUUAGAAGUAGUUGUAGUUUGGCCAGACUGCAUGCUGCUUGGUCACAAUUUUAUGUUGUUGGAAUGUGUUUUGCCUGUGUAGAAGCGGAUAAUCAGCCUUGCUAACCAUAUGCCUAAAAAAUGUUAUCUAAUAACAGUACAUCCUUGGUUGUACUAAUGGGAUUAAAACUAUCUUGCAUACUUUUCAAGAGGCCUUUAUCCUGUGGAGACAUACACACUAAGGAGGGACAACCCUGCUAGCAGUUGUUAAAUUCACAUACCAUUUGCAACCUUUUCUAAUCAUACUCUUCCUAGGAAGCCCACCACAUUUGCCACAGUUUCCUUGGAAUGAGACCAAGUGUGCUUUAAAUUGAUACAAGCUUAUUUGAGAAAGUCUGUCAAAGCUGUCACCAGAAACCAAAAAUAGUUUCUUCAGACAGAAGGCUUGUUCCUUUCAUGAAUUUUUGCUAAGCAGAUGUGGCUUCAACCACUGUUUGAAUUUGUGUCUCACUUUCAGAGGUCAAGAAUAUUUCAAAACAGUUUUGACAUAGACUCCUCUCUGGUUUUUUCUCGUGGUUACCUUUCAAAAGACAGCCAACCUCUGUUGGUAUUUAAAUGGAAUUAAUCAGAAGAAAGAGGGACCUACGGGCCUUUCUAAAUCUCACCCAUUCCUCUGCUGUGAGAGCAGAGCUGUUGCAGCUGGAUUCCUGCAACUCCGGUGGCAAAGCACCCACCUGGAGUCUGUUCUCAGCUCAGCCACCAGAUCUGGCAGCUGGUCUCACAGCUCUAGACUUCUGUCUUUGCACCUGCAACAAGGCAGUAAAAAUCCUGACUUAAUGCAUAUUCUUAUUUCUAAUAUUGUUAUUUGUUAGUGUACGUAUGGCAGGUUAUUGAUGGCUUAAAGGAGCAUCAGCUGUUGUGACUGAGGUCUUUGGGGUGUUUUGCCAAACUACUGUAACAGCAUUGCGCAUAAAGCAACAAGAUUUUGCAUUUUUUUUGUGUCCUUACAUGGACAGAUAGGUUGAUGACUUUCUAAUUCAUCAGUCUUGUUCUGUAAGGACAGCCACUGAACUUUUCUUUUUCAAGGAAGGUGGUGAGCAAAAGACAAUAAAAAACCACUAGCUGAUUUUCUUUUAGAUUGUGUUCCAUGCACGAUAGAGUUCAUGCUAUAUCUAAGCAUAGUUGUGUCUGUUUAUAAAUGAAAAUCUCUCAGAAACAUGAGAAAUGACUUGAAACAUGAGAAAUUGAUUUUGUAAAAAUUAUCAGUCGUGAUUUUGCUUCUGCCCUGUACUGUAACUACUAUAACCUUAAUCCAUAAAUCCAGUCUUCUUUGGGAAAGUCUUAGCUGGUGUUAAUCACGAAAAUUAGAAAACUUGAAGUAUAAAAAGAUAAUGGAUUGCACCUACAAAUGUAUUCUUCAGUUCUAUAUGCAAACAAGCAGCUGCUCACAGAAAACUCUGUGUGAACACUGCAGUUUUAAUUUGUCAUCUUUGUUUUUCAGUGGCAUACCUUUAAUAUCACUUACAUUUCUGUGAAAAAUAUUUUUAUUACUUACCAGAAUUGUUUGCACUAUAAUGGAUUAUCUUUUUCCAUUUAAAAACACUAAAACAUUCUGUCUAUUAUCUCAUUUGUAGUACAACUUGGAAAAUGCAGGAAGGAUAUUGCAGUAUUCUCACGUGUGUCCGUUAUUCAUUUUCCUGCAGAGUAUUGGAAAUCUGUGUCAAAAUCCAUCUCUUUGGCUGACCUUUGGGAAGGCUCCGUUGAUGUGUUCUGAUAAUUGUUCUGCUUUACCUCACAGACAGCAACUUGAUAAUCUACAGUCUAGGCUCCGGGACCUCUUAAAGCUCUCUGCAAGAUACAACUUUUUGAUACAUCUCCAGGCUUUGAGAGUGCUGUAUUCCUAACAACUUGUGACCAGCUUGUUUUAGAAGGAGCAUUUUUCUUCUGAACAUAAACAUGAAUGUGACGUAAUUCAAUGAACUGCAUUGAAAUACUUCUGGAUUUACUUUGAUAUGGUUGACAGCAGAAUUUGGCUCUGUAUGUGUUGGCAUGUGCUCUAUGGGACAUUGUGAGAAAAAACAACAAAGUUAUCCUUCAUAGACCAUGUUUCAGCUUGCUGGUGGAUCUGAGCUUUAAGCACUACGCUCUAGUCUAAUGCCAGAAAUUUUACUUACCUUUGGAUCUCCCCAUUGUAAACUGUCUGCCAAAGCUUCAAGACUGUAGGUGUAAAAUACAGUUAAUAAGCUUUACACUCUGAACCUUGCCAAGCAGAGUGAGGUCUAUAUCUAUUAAUGACUUGUAUCAUAGCAUAUCUGAAAAACUAAGGCUUUAAUUAGAAAAAAUAAAUAAAAAAAAUAGAGAAUGCUCUAUAGCAUAACUAAUUUCGGUACAUUAGUGCUACUUCUCAGAAUAUAAGUUUUGAAAAGAUUUGCAC
ensembl:lncRNA